rnacentral:rRNA from 1 species
ACGGAGGGGGCUAGCGUUGUUCGGAAUUAUUGGGCGUAAAGGGCGCGUAGGCGGGCUGUUAAGUUGGAGGUGAAAUCCCUGGGCUCAACCCUGGAACUGCAUUCAAAACUAUCACUCUGGAGUUCGGGAGAGGAGAGUGGAAUUCCGAGUGUAGAGGUGAAAUGCGUAGAUAUUCGGAAGAACACUAGUGGCGAAGGCGGCUCACUGGCUCGGUACUGACGCUGAUGCGCGAAAGCGUGGGGAGCGAACAG